rnacentral:rRNA from 1 species
GACAGAGGGGGCAAGCGUUGCUCGGAAUCACUGGGCGUAAAGGGCGCGUAGGCGGGAUGGCAAGUCAGUCGUGAAAUCUCUCGGCUCAACCGAGAAACGUCGGCUGAUACUGCCGUUCUUGAGGGAUGCAGAGGAGACUGGAAUUCCCGGUGUAGCGGUGAAAUGUGUAGAGAUCGGGAGGAACACCGGUGGCGAAGGCGGAUCUCUGGGCCAUUACUGACGCUGAGGAGCGAAAGUGUGGGGAGCGAACAGG